UACGUAGGUGGCAAGCGUUGUCCGGAUUUAUUGGGCGUAAAGGGCGCGUAGGCGGCGCGGUAUGUCACCUGUGAAAUCUCCUGGCUCAACUGGGAGCUUGCAGGCGAAACUGCCGUGCUGGAGUGUGGGAGAGGUGCGUGGAAUUCCUGGUGUAGCGGUGAAAUGCGUAGAUAUCAGGAGGAACACCUGUGGCGAAAGCGGCGCACUGGACCACAACUGACGCUGAGGCGCGAAAGCUAGGGGAGCAAACAGG
rnacentral:rRNA from 1 species